UACGGAGGGUGCAAGCGUUAUCCGGAUUUACUGGGUUUAAAGGGUGCGUAGGCGGCCUGAUAAGUCAGUGGUGAAAGCCCGCAGCUUAACUGCGGAACUGCCAUUGAAACUGCCAGGCUUGAGUACAGAUGAGGUGGGUGGAAUAUAUCAUGUAGCGGUGAAAUGCUUAGAUAUGAUAUAGAACCCCGAUUGCGAAGGCAGCUCACCAAUCUGUAACUGACGCUGAGGCACGAAAGCGUGGGGAGCAAACAGG
rnacentral:rRNA from 1 species